rnacentral:rRNA from 1 species
AACGAACGCUGGCGGCAUGCCUAACACAUGCAAGUCGAACGAGACCUUCGGGUCUAGUGGCGCACGGGUGCGUAACGCGUGGGAACCUGCCCUUAGGUUCGGAAUACCUCUCCGAAAGGGGUGCUAAUACCGGAUAAUGUCUUCGGACCAAAGAUUUAUCGACUUUGGAUGGGCCCGCGUUGGUUUAGCUAGUUGGUAGGGUAAAAGCCUACCAAGGCGAGGAUCCAUAGCUGGGCUGAGAGGAUGAUCAGCGACACUGGGGCUGAGACGCGGCCCAGACUCCUACGGGAGGCAGCAGUGGGGGAUAUAGGAAAAUGGGGGGAAGGAUGAUCCAGCAAGGCCGGGUGAGUGAUGAAGGCGUUAGAGAUGUAAAGCUCUUUUACCCGGGAUGAUAAUGACAGUACCGGGAGAAUAAGCACCGGCCAACUCCGUG